rnacentral:tRNA from 1 species
GCCGAUAUAGCUCAGUGGGUAGAGCAGCGCAUUCGUAAUGCGAAGGUCGUAGGUUCGACUCCUAUUAUCGGCACCA